rnacentral:rRNA from 1 species
CGCGAAUGGCUCAUUACAACAGCCGUUGUUUCUUGGAUCUUGAUUUACUUGGAUAACUGUGGUAAUUCUAGAGCUAAUACAUGCAACCAAGCUCCGACCUUGCGGAAGGAGCGCAUUUAUUAGACCAAGACCAAUCGGGCUCUGCCUGACUUUUGGUGACUCUGAAUAACUUUGCUGAUCACACGGUCCAGCACCGGUGACAUAUCUUUCAAGUGUCUGCCCUAUCAACUUUCGAUGGUAGUUUACGUGCCUACCAUGGUUGUAACGGGUAACGGAGAAUAAGGGUUCGACUCCGGAGAGGGAGCCUGAGAAAUGGCUACCACAUCCAAGGAAGGCAGCAGGCGCGCAAAUUACCCAAUCUCAGUUCGAGGAGGUAGUGACGAAAAAUAACGAGACGGUUCUCUAUGAGGCCCGUCAUCGGAAUGGGUACAAUUUAAACCCUUUAACGAGGAUCUAUUGGAGGGCAAGUCUGGUGCCAGCAGCCGCGGUAAUUCCAGCUCCAAUAGCAUAUGCCAAUUCUGUUGCUGUUAAAAAGCUCGUAGUUGGAUCUUUUCCGAGGAGCCAGUCUGCCUAAAGGGUACGUACUGGUUUCCGAGGAUUUUUCUGCUGGUCUUCCCGUGGUGCUCUUCACCGGGUGUCACGGGUGGCUAGCGCUUUUACUUUGAAAAAAUUAGAGUGCUCAAAACAGGCGUUACUGCCCGAAUAGUGGUGCAUGGAAUAAUGGAAUAGGAUCUCGGUUCUAUUUUGUUGGUUUUAGGAGCGCGAGAUAAUGAUUAAGAGGGACAGACGGGGGCAUUCGUAUUGCGGCGUUAGAGGUGAAAUUCUUGGAUCGCCGCAAGACGAACAACUGCGAAAGCAUUUGCCAAGAAUGUCUUCAUUAAUCAAGAACGAAAGUUAGAGGUUCGAAGGCGAUCAGAUACCGCCC